rnacentral:lncRNA from 1 species
UUCAGUCCAAAAUCGAAAUUUAAGCAUGGAUUAUUAAUCCUCAUCACAAGAGGAUUAAAACUUUGAUCUCGUCAAGCUAAGUGGGAGCUGGAAAGGAAUGGAUCAAACGGAUCAUGGAUGCGAAGAAUGUUUGCGCGGACGCGAGGGUAAAACGGCUUAUGGAAUUUACGUGGCUAUGAAUCAGCAAAUUAUUAAGGCAAGGUAUUAAAACGGGUCAAUACUUUGACCCGCGCCAGGUUCAUUUUGGAUGCCGAGAGACGAUCAAGCUCAUCGAAGAACCGAACACGAUAUAGUUACAUGCUUCCGCACUUUGCCACGUUGUAUAUUUUAAACAACGAAUUCGAUCACGUUUUGUAGAAUAACUUAUGAAUUGUAAAAGUUUUAAUUUACUCGAAAUU